UUUUAAUUGGUAGUUUACUACAUAAAUUAAAAAGUGGUGUACAGGUGAGUAUAAUGAUAUUCUUAGCCGACCUUAAAGUGGAGGUAAAUCCUUCAUAAUACAUAAAGGGAUAAGUAAUCCUGCUUUAAGAGGACAAUAAAUAUCUUCGGGAUAGGUAGUAGUUAAGGUGAUGGCUUAACUAGCCUAAAACUCUCGUAGUCGAAUCUGAAAGGUUGAUCGACCACAUUGGGUCUGAAAAAACCCCAAUGCAAGUUAGUACAGCAGUGAGGAAUCUUGGUCAAUGGCCUAACGGCUGAACUGGCAACUUGGAGAAGUGGCAAGUCUUAUUUUGAUUAUAUUAUUAUAUAUAAUCUAUAAGAUUGUAUUAAAAUUGAAUAAAGCUUUGUUUAUAUAUCGAUAAUGACGGUAUAUAUAUCGUGUCUUGGCUAAUUACGUGCCAGCAGCCGCGGUAAUACGUAAGAGACUAGUGUUAUUCAUCUUAAUUAGGUUUAAAGGGUACCUAGACGGUCAAUAUAGCUUCUAUAAUGUUAGUACUUGACUAGAGUUUGAUAUAAGAGGGCAGUACUUGAGGAGGAGAGAUGAAAUUCUAUUAUACCAAAGGGACUCGGUAAAGGCGAAGGCAGCCCUCUAUGUAAAAACUGACGUUGAAGGACGAAGGCACAGAGCACAAACAGGAUUAGAUACCCAAGUAGUCUUUGCAGUAAAUGAUGAAUGUCAUAGGUUAGAUUAAGCUUUAAUUAAUUAGUUUAUCAGUAAUGAACUAACUAUUAAACAAUAUUUAGUCUAUAAAUGAAAGUGUAAGCAUUCCACCUCAAGAGUAAUGUGGCAACGCAGGAACUGAAAUCACUAGACCGUUUCUGACACCAGUAGUGAAGUAUGUUGUUUAAUUCGAUGAUCCACGAAAAACCUUACCAUAAUUUGAAUAUUUUACAGGAGUUGCACGGCUGUUUUCAGUUAAUGUUGUGAAACUGUGGUUUCCAUGAAAUUAACGCAAUCCCUGGCUUUAUUUUUUUUUUAUUACGAUAAAGCAUUUGAUCCAGGAUUUGGAAAGAAAAAGGGGACAAAGACAAGUCAUCAUGGCCUUGAUAUUGUGGGCUAUAGACGUGCCACAUAUUCCUACACAAAGAGAUGCAAAAAUGUGAAUUUAAGCUAAUCUCUAAAAAUAGGAUAUAAAUUUUAAGGAUUAUAGUCUGAAACUCGACUAUAUGAAUAAGUAAUUACUAGUAAUCGUGAAUCACCAUGUCACGGUGAAUUUACCUUGGAUUGGUACUAACCACUCGUACCAUGCUGAAAAGAGCAUGCGCAAUAAGUUUGCUUUCUUGAUGAUCAGUAAAAAGAAUAAGCAGGUUCUAUAUUCUAUUAUUAAGAAUCUUCGUAUGCGUGGCUCUAAUUAGUGUUAAGUCGAAAUACGGUUCGUGUAGUGGAAGUUGCACGGGAUUAAUUAAUUUUAACGAUAAUUAUAUAUAAUAUAUUUUAUUAUAUUAUAUAAAGGAGGGUUCCUUUAUUGGUAAGAAGGGUUGAGCUGUAAACUCAAUAGCUGUUGCUUGUAAGAGUUCGAAUCUCUUGUCUCCUAGAAUUAGUAACUUAAU
rnacentral:rRNA from 1 species